rnacentral:lncRNA from 1 species
UGAAGUAUUUAUCCAUAUAAAGUAUGUGAUUGUAGUUUAUUGAUAUAUUAAUGCUUAUGAUUCCAUUGUAUGAAUACUGGUGAUGUCAUGCAUAGAUUCGGUACAUUCAUGAGUGUUGCAUCGACGAUUGAUAUGAUUCUAAUUAGAUUAUAAUCUUAUUAUUGUUGUCACUAAUUAAGGGUUAAAGCCCACUUUUUGCAUUAAAAUAGAUUUCUUCAUAAUAAUACAUGUCUAUCUU